rnacentral:lncRNA from 1 species
UUACGCCAGAUUGGUUCUCUUUCACACGAGUGAGCAGGAGUAGUAACAGAAAGAUCCGGAGGCCAUCGGUAGAGACGCGUCCAAGUUACCUUUUGGCUACUGCCGCUGCUUUUGAAGCACAAGUACGCAAUAUGAUGUCAACGGGCAGACGCGCUGCUCGUAGAAGGGAAGGCAGUCAUCGGUUCGCGUACGACCAGAAACAUAUACAGCAAACGCUAGUGGACAGAAGUCAACCCUUCGGCCAAUAGAAUCAAACCGAUCCGGUCCCUUUUCCUAGCGGCAAUUCACUCGAUUCGCAGGCUGAAAGACGUAAUCAUCUCACGCGCAAAAAAAACAAUUGCCUUCGCCAGGCAUAAUUAGCUUGUUCGUGAUGAGCAUCUCCCGUUAGUCUAAGCGUCGUACCCACAAGAAUAAACUCGCACACUCACACAACAAAGUGACAUCCGGCGGAUAGCGCAGAACGGCCCACGUCAGUUGAUUGCAGGUCACAGAGUCUGCAGGCGAGGACUCUAAACAACCAAGCGAAGGAAAAAUGGGCUUUUUAGGCGUGUGUUUCUUCUCAGCUUUGCCUUCACCAACGAAGGCAGGGGGACAUAUACCCUUUGGAAACGACAGAUAGAUGCUUCUCGACUACUGUUAAUUGAGGGACCCAUCAGUUUAGCGUUGGACAGUAUUGACAAUAUUUCUUUCCUCAUAGGAAUAAUUUUGAUGUAAAAUAUGAUUGUAAGUAUAACAUGCAGUAAGUUACAAUCGAAGGGAAGAAGGUAGUUCGUUUAACUUGUAGUUCUAAGACGAUAGAAACAAAUAUAACUGAAGAACACCGAAGAACGCUUUUAUUUUUCAUAAUUUUCAAAGGAAGAGAGAAUGUAUUUAAAGCGAGACAAACAUUACCGUUAAAUAUAUCCAUACGUACUCAUCAAUAAAUAAAUUUCGAUGUUCUGUGUUCAUACAAACGAGGCAAUCAAAUAGACGCGUUUAAUAAUCAGUUAAGGCAGCUUUGUUCGUGUGUAGGUAGAAAU